rnacentral:rRNA from 1 species
CCUGCGAAACCCAAAAGAUCGAAUGGGGAGAUUCAUCGUCAGCGAUCUCGGUGUUCGCGUGGUUCGCGAUGCUUGGGAUUUCGAUCCCGUGGCACGCGUCCGCGCGUUCUUUAAAUCGGGUAUCGUCGGCGUGCACUUCUCCCCUAGUAGGACGUCGCGACCCGUUGGGUGUCGGUCUACGGCCCGGGUGGGCGCCUGGCCAAUGUGCGCUUCACGGCGUUACGCUGGUCAGACCCCCGGUUGCCCGACCGGCUGCCCGGCGGUACUCGCACGGUAUCGAGCCGCAAUUAUUCGAACUGCGUCCGGCCCGAAGCAAGCUUUGACCAUUGAUUCCCGGACGACGGAUCUAACGCCGUCUCUGGGCGUGGUCGGCUGUUGGCAUCGGUGCCCUGGGACAGGCUCAAAUUAUUAUGAUACCGGUCGGCGACGCUUCUGCUUUGGGUACUCUCAGG